rnacentral:rRNA from 1 species
CAGGGAAUCUUGCACAAUGGGCGAAAGCCUGAUGCAGCGACGCCGCGUGGGGGAUGAAGGCCUUAGGGUCAUAAACCCCUUUCAGCAGGGACGAAAAUGACGGUACCUGCAGAAGAAGCCCCGGCCAACUACGUGCCAGCAGCCGCGGUAAGACGUAGGGGGCGAGCGUUGUCCGGAUUUAUUGGGCGUAAAGAGCUCGUAGGCGGUUGCGUAAGUCGGAUGUGAAAACUCAGGGCUCAACCCUGAGACGCCAUCCGAUACUGCGCUGACUUGAAUCCAGUAGGGGAGUGCGGAAUUCCUGGUGUAGCGGUGAAAUGCGCAGAUAUCAGGAGGAACACCCAUGGCGAAGGCAGCACUCUGGGCUGGUAUUGACGCUGAGGAGCGAAAGCAUGGGUAGCGAACAGGAUUAGAUACCCACGUAGUCCCUGAGCGGGCUGGCAAGGCGCAU